rnacentral:rRNA from 1 species
AUUGAACGCUGGCGGCAGGCUUAACACAUGCAAGUCGAACGCCCCGCAAGGGGAGUGGCAGACGGGUGAGUAACGCGUGGGAACAUACCCUUUCCUGCGGAAUAGCUCCGGGAAACUGGAAUUAAUACCGCAUACGCCCUACGGGGGAAAGAUUUAUCGGGGAAGGAUUGGCCCGCGUUGGAUUAGCUAGUUGGUGGGGUAAAGGCCUACCAAGGCGACGAUCCAUAGCUGGUCUGAGAGGAUGAUCAGCCACAUUGGGACUGAGACACGGCCCAAACUCCUACGGGAGGCAGCAGUGGGGAAUAUUGGACAAUGGGCGCAAGCCUGAUCCAGCCAUGCCGCGUGAGUGAUGAAGGCCUUAGGGUUGUAAAGCUCUUUCACCGAUGAAGAUAAUGACGGUAGUCGGAGAAGAAGCCCCGGCUAACUUCGUGCCAGCCGCCGCGGUAAGAC